UACGGAGGAUCCGAGCGUUAUCCGGAAUCAUUGGGUUUAAAGGGUCCGUAGGCGGUUUUGUAAGUCAGUGGUGAAAGCCCAUCGCUCAACGGUGGAACGGCCAUUGAUACUGCAAGACUUGAAUUAUUGGGAAGCAACUAGAAUAUGUAGUGUAGCGGUGAAAUGCUUAGAGAUUACAUGGAAUACCAAUUGCGAAGGCAGGUUGCUACCAAUACAUUGACGCUGAUGGACGAAAGCGUGGGGAGCGAACAGG
rnacentral:rRNA from 1 species